AUGAGAUUGCGACGAUUCAGGGACACUUCUUCUGGGCUGGUGAGGUCGAUAAGCAGAAAUACCACAUGGUUCGGUGGUUGGAGAUUUGUAAACCUCGUGAUCAGGGCGGACUUGGGUCAUGUCCUCCAAACGCAUGAACAUUGCUCUCCUGACUUUGGCGAUUGCGAACGACGAGGGUGGCUUGUGGCUCCAUAUCAUCCAGUAGAAAUACCUCAGCGGCCAACCACUAGCUUCUGCCAGCGGACCGGUGGCUCACAGUUCUGGCAAUCCAUCAUAGAGUUGCUCCCAGUCCUCCGCAUCGGGUCCUCGAUUGUGGUUGGAUCUGGCACUGCCAUGCUGUUUUGGUUCGAUAGAUGGGUUGGGGACACUCCCUUCGCCGCUCGCUUCCCUGACAUGUUCUCCAUCGCGGUAGAUCCGCGGAUUUCUGUCGCGGCGGCCCUUGACUUAGGGUGUCUCGCGUUUCGGCGUCCUUUUGGACCAGAGGAGAAUGAGGCAUGGUAGGACCUGCUUGAUUGCAUUACUUUGCACGAGUCGGAUGUGGAGAUUGGAGAGGUCCGCACCAGGUGGCGACUAGAGCCUUUUGGGCAAUUCUCCUCUAAAUCUCUUUACCAGGCUAUGGCCCCUUCGCCAGGUCCUGAGGCUCUCACCACUAUCCGGGCGAUCCGGCUCCCCUUAAAGAUUAGGAUCUUCUUAUGGCAAUGGAUUCGUGGCCGCCUUCCGACCGGCAUCGAGGCCUUAAAACGCGAUGGCCCAGGUGAUGGGCAAUGCCCGCUCCGCGGGACUGAAGAGGAUACGAACCAUAUUUUCUUCUCCUGCAUGUCCGCGCAGUUCCUCUGGAGCUGUUUCCGUGAUUUAGUGGGUGGAAGUUGGGAUCACAACAACUUCCCCGCUCUAUUUGCCGAACUUCAGUCGUUGCCACCCGUAUAUCGCCACAUUAGGUGGCUGACCGUCGGUGUGCUAGUCUAG
rnacentral:rRNA from 1 species